rnacentral:tRNA from 2 species
CUGGGUGUGGCGCAGUUUGGUAGCGCGCUACCUUGGGGUGGUAGAGGCCGCUGGUUCAAGUCCAGUCACUCAGACCA